UUCACAAGUCACUGUGAAGCACAAAAAUAAGUUGCAACUGAUUUAGCAAUUUUUUAAAACCAAAGGUGCUUGAGAAGACAUGUUUCUUAAGAAAACAAAUUUUUAAUUUAAUUUAAUAUUAAUUGGGAGAAAAGUAUUUUCCUGCAAAUUGUGCAUAAACAUUGCACAUGUGUUUCAGGAGAAAAUUAUCAUUGUCGUGUCACUGUUGGCUUAUUUCAUCAUGAAUUAUAAUUUCAAUCCCAUUCAGUACUAAGAACAUUUUCGUUUGUGAAUUUUAAAAAAAUCGGAUCUUUAUUGCAUAUUUAUUCUUUAAGGACAAACGUAUAAUAAAAUUGAUGUAAACCUAAAUUUGUUGGGUAGACUUAAUUAAUUAGAUUAGAGUAAUAGAAAAUUUUCUCAGGCUGACAAGUGGACGUGAAAUUAAUGCAAGCAAUUUAAUAAUUAUGACGAAGUCCUGUAUUUACAGAUGUCAUACAAAUUUGUGGUAAACGAUAUUUAACGGACGGCGUCAGGCAGGUUAUUCGCGAUAUAAACAGAGAGACGGAACGGGAUAAAGGUAUAAAUGUCGUUACACGGAAAUCAUUUUAUUAUGUCCACAUAUGUAAACAUUGUUUAAUUUUCGUAAGCAAAACCAUGGUUAAGGAUUCAAACAAACAGACUACCAAAAGUUGGGCCAAAUUAUUCCAAAUCUCCUUUCUCAUAUUUCGUAAUACUGGAAAGCUGCAGAGCUGGAGUUAGGUUACCUGAAUAUAUGACGAAGCACAUCCACCCGUGUGAUAAACAGAUUUGGGAAUACGAUGAUGAGGAUGAACAAGACGAAGAUCAAGAGAUAAAUCCCCAUUACCAACCGGCGAUGCUGACAUACUUAAUUGAACACGUGUUUUUACUACAACCAAUGUUUGACCAUUCAGUAAUGGUCUUAAAUGGAUUGUCAGGUCGGUUGAAAUAAUUUCCUAUACCUAAUGUGCGAAAUAAUUGUACAUUUUAUAUCGUGUAGUGGAAGAGGAUACAAACUCGGUUGUGGAAAAUUGGAACAAAAUCAUCAAGAAAGAUGAACAUGCCAAUCGACCUAUAAAAAUCUCGCGUUUCAUACAUGAACAGGCGAAAGUAAUUAAUGGUGUUAUUAAAAUUAUUACCAAGUUAUACUAAAUUUUUUCAACACCCCUUAGCGAAUUACAUAUGUUGUACAUAUGUGUAUUACAUUUAGACCGGAUUACCCAAUUCGACUUUCUCCUUGCGAAACAUGAAACAGCCAAGCAAGGAGGAAUGAACAAAGACAAAGCUUCAUCUCAACGGGACAACAACCAGACAACGCGGAAGGGGAACAAACAAACAGCAAGAAAGAGUACAGGUAAAUCAGAAAGCGGAUGGAAAUAUUAAAAAUCUCCUUCGCAUAUUUGCAAAAUCAUGUGCAAAAUUAAUUUAUGGGCGUCCCAACAAAUUCAAACAAAACCCGGAAGCAAGGGGGCGGUAAAUUACCCAAUACUGAACCUGAACGCGGACACGAAAAUUGAAGGCCACGUAGUCCUCCUAAUAUCUCUACUGGUUUCACUGUUCUGCAUGGACUACCAAGAAUUCGUUAUGGUGGUAGCAUUGAAAUUAACAACAACAGUUACGCAAUGGUUAACACUUGUAACAUCGAUAACGUUUUGCGGAUACUUUUUGUCAUGCAUUCUAUCGACCGUCGAGUCAGAAGUCAUAUCAAGAGAUUUAAUGUUUUGGAAACCCCCAAAGGAAUACACUUAAUGAGAAUUUUGUCACAUAUCGAGAAGGAAGAAUUCAAAGAAGCAAGGAAAAUAACUUUGGUAAACUUAAUGGAAUUAAACUUAUCAAGUUUGCAGAAUGGAGACUUGUUUAAUUCAGAAGAAAAAUUCCUCGAAUCAAUACACUUUUUGGUGGAAUUCGAACAAACAUAUAUGUGUCCUAACAAUUGCCACUUGAGCCGAACUGUUGUAGCUAGUCCAAUGGAUCUUUCCAUUAGGUCUCCUAACCUGUUUGCACUGAUGUUAACCACAGAGAAAGAGUCUGGGUGCGACAAUUGCAGUAACCCUGAUCGACGGGAAGAUGGCCCAAUGGCAAAGACGACAUUUUCCUGGUCUGAUUCUGGACCUCCUCCCUUCCUCUGCUAUGCGGUGGCAUAUGGGGGAAAUGAUUACCCUCCAACUGAAUUCGAAGUCCCACUUGCAGAAAUCAUUCUUGGUGUAAAAUACAAAUUAUUUUCAUAUACAGUAUGAUACAAUAGUCAUUAUACGGCUGUCUUCUGUUAUAAACGUAAGUUCUAUAAUUAUGACGGACUAAAGCCAGAGAAACUGAUUAAUUAUCGAUUGGGAGACGCUCCGGAAGGUCACCGAAUCAGUACCGUGUGGAUGAUUAGGGACUGAUUGCUUUCAUCAAUUCGAAAUAGUAUUCAAGACUUCGGACUUUUACGCAUGAAGUUUUUAAGAAGACAACUGACGAUUGGGAUUGUGUAAAUAUAAUAGUGUAAUAACAGUAGAAGAAGUAAUUGAAUAAAUGUACAGAAAAGUAGCCUCUAAUAAUUAAUAAUAGAAUAAUCCUAAAAUAAAUAUACAUUGAUGUGUCACGAUAA